CAAAUAUGAGAGCAGUGAAAUGAAGCCAUAUGUAGUGAGCAGGAACCAGUUAAAUAGCAGACCCUCAGCUGAAAGUUAUUGCUUCAGGGUUGAAAGCAGAAAGACAGGGGCUUUGGAAAAGACACAGGAAAGCUUGUAAUUAACUUCACAGGAAGAAUUCCUUAGAGACUGGAACUGGAGAUCAGCCAGAUCACUUGUAUGCACAAAGCCACUGUGGAUCUGUCUUUCAAAUAAGAGCUGCAGAAAACGCUAUAGCAAGAUUGAAGCUUUAUCCACUCUGGUAAGAGAAGCUUUCUUUUUCUUUGCUAUGGUGAGAGUUUGAUAAGAAAUCCUUUUAAGCCAUAAUGUGGUC
rnacentral:lncRNA from 1 species